AAUGGAGGGUGCCAGCGUUAUUGGGAAUCACUGGGCGUAAAGAGCGCGUAGGCGGUCUCUUAAGUCAGAUGUGAAAGCCCGGGGCUUAACCCCGGAAGUGCAUUUGAAACUAAGGGACUUGAGUAUGGGAGAGGGAAGUGGAAUUCCUGGUGUAGCGGUGAAAUGCGUAGAUAUCAGGAGGAACACCGGUGGCGAUGGCGACUGCCUGGACCAAUACUGACGCUGAGGCGCGAAGGCGUGGGGAGCAAACAGG
rnacentral:rRNA from 1 species